rnacentral:ncRNA from 1 species
UAUAUUUGCCGAUCGAAAGAAAAGCUUUCGUGUACAUAAAAAUCAUUUAAAUAAAUAUUGGAAUG